AAAACGACUCUCGGCAACGGAUAUCUCGGCUCUCGCAUCGAUGAAGAACGCAGCGAAAUGCGAUACUUGGUGUGAAUUGCAGGAUCCCGCGAACCAUCGAGUCUUUGAACGCAAGUUGCGCCCGAAGCCUUUUGGCUGAGGGCACGUCUGCCUGGGUGUCACUC
rnacentral:rRNA from 5 species